rnacentral:rRNA from 1 species
CGGAUUGUAGUCUGCAACUCGACUACAUGAAGCUGGAAUCGCUAGUAAUCGCGAAUCAGAAUGUCGCGGUGAAUACGUUCCCGGGUCUUGUACACACCGCCCGUCACACCAUGGGAGUCGGAAAUGCCCGAAGUCAGUGACCCAACCGUAAGGAGGGAGCUGCCGAAGGUGGAGCCGGUAACUGGGGUGAAGUCGUAACAAGGUACC